rnacentral:rRNA from 1 species
GACGAACGCUGGCGGCGUGCCUAACACAUGCAAGUCGAACGGGGAAAGAACGCUGAAUUGAUGGUAGCUUGCUACCGGAUUUUCUUGUUUUUCCUAGUGGCGGACGGGUGAGUAACGCGUGAGUAACCUGCCUUACAGAGGGGGACAACAGUUGGAAACGACUGCUAAUACCGCAUAACGUAGCGAGAGGGCAUCCUCUUGUUACCAAAGGAGCAAUCCGCUGUAAGAUGGACUCGCGUCCAAUUAGAUAGUUGGUGGGGUAACGGCCCGACCAAGUCGACGAUUGGUAGCCGGACUGAGAGGUUGAACGGCCACAUUGGGACUGAGACACGGCCCAGACUCCUACGGGAGGCAGCAGUGGGGGAUAUUGCACAAUGGGGGAAACCCUGAUGCAGCAACGCCGCGUGAAGGAAGAAGGUCUUCGGAUUGAAACUUCUGUUUUAGUGAAGAACAAAUGACGGUAGCUAAAGNGGAAGCCACGGCUAACUACGUG